rnacentral:rRNA from 1 species
GGACGGGUGAGUAACGCGUGGGUAACCUGCCUCAUACAGGGGGAUAACAGUUAGAAAUGACUGCUAAUACCGCAUAAGCGCACAGUGCUGCAUGGCACAGUGUGAAAAACUCCGGUGGUAUGAGAUGGACCCGCGUCUGAUUAGCUGGUUGGUGGGGUAACGGCCUACCAAGGCGACGAUCAGUAGCCGGCCUGAGAGGGUGAACGGCCACAUUGGGACUGAGACACGGCCCAAACUCCUACGGGAGGCAGCAGUGGGGAAUAUUGCACAAUGGGGGAAACCCUGAUGCAGCGACGCCGCGUGAGCGAAGAAGUAUUUCGGUAUGUAAAGCUCUAUCAGCAGGGAAGAAAAUGACGGUACCUGACUAAGAAGCACCGGCUAAAUACGUGCCAGCAGCCGCGGUAAUACGUAUGGUGCAAGCGUUAUCCGGAUUUACUGGGUGUAAAGGGAGCGUAGACGGUUGUGUAAGUCUGAUGUGAAAGC